rnacentral:rRNA from 1 species
UACGGAGGGUGCAAGCGUUAUCCGGAUUCACUGGGUUUAAAGGGUGCGUAGGCGGGCAGGUAAGUCAGUGGUGAAAUCUUCGAGCUUAACUCGGAAACUGCCUUUGAUACUAUCUGUCUUGAAUAUGGUGGAGGUAAGCGGAAUAUGUCAUGUAGCGGUGAAAUGCUUAGAGAUGACAUAGAACACCUAUUGCGAAGGCAGCUUACUACGCCUCAUAUUGACGCUGAGGCACGAAAGCGUGGGGAUCAAACAGG